GGCAGUGGGUCUUGCAGCCUCAUUAAGCUCUCAAAUACACCCUUCCUUCUUGCUCCUGUGCCAGUCCCUUCUUGCCCGUCCUGAAUGGGUGCACGGACCUGCCCUGGACAUCGGUGGUGCAUGGACCUGCCUCCCCUCCCUCAGCCCACUGGCUCCUGUGGUGUCUGUAGAUAAUGAGUUUGGAAAGGAGUGCUGCGGGAAAGCCUUCACCUUCACAUCCUCACCCAGCCGGCCGGAGCAGCAGCACGGGCGCUACCAAGAUGUUUCUGUUCACCCUCACCACGAUUCUUUGUGUCCACCCUGCUUGCUUUCCACUGGCAGUGCAUUAAAUGAGUGUGUAAGGGAUUUGGCCACUUGUCCCCCCUCCACAGAUCCCUGCUGCUGGGCAUGGCGAUAAAACACGCAGCAGAUGACAAGGCAUGGGAACCAGCGAGCAUCGCCUGGCAAGGUGCGAUGCUGUCCCGGCUCUUAUCGCAGCAUGCGGAGACAUCUAACGGCCCCGUAACACACUGCAGACAAUUAAUCAUAGCGCACAGCAUCUUGCCAGCAUGCCUGAGCAGUGACCUGGAGCUGCCACCUCUGCGGAGCUCAGUCCCGCAGACAGCAAUGCAAGCAAGGCGUGAGCUUCGUACCAGCCGCAGCGAUGGACUCUGCAACCGUCUGCUAGGACUGCCUGGAAAUUGGCCUUCUUUAGAGCUUGCCACCUAAUCCCACACAUCUAGAAGCUGACAAUAAUGUAUUUGGAUGCUGACUAAUCCAGACUUUGAGAUCUUGAGCCCGUUCAUGUUCACCCCUUCCACCAACAUGCUGGGACCCAGCAGAAACCACAGGCCCUCUGAAUGCUGGGGAAGGGGAGCAAGAAAAGGACAAUUCUGAGCUGUGCAUCCUGGAGAAAUAUGGCCCAGAACAACCUUUUUGUCCAGUAAAUCGUGAAGCUUUCAGCAGUCAGUGGUUUAUAGCCUCACUAAGCCAAAACCUGCCUCUGUUUAAUAACCCCUAGCGAAUCUCUCCUCCAGAAAUUGUUGCAUUUUUUUCAUUCUAUAAUAUAUAUUUAUAUAGAAAUUGCCAUAUUUUUAUGAGGGAGUUCUCACUGCCUAUGAAUUUAAAACUAGCCUGGAUAAUGCUCUGGUGAAAAAGCAGUAAAAAUAGUUCUGUACCAUCAAGGGAAGGGCUUAAAAGUUUAUUUUCUUGCUGAGUGACUGGAGUUAGGCAAAACCCAUCCCCAAAGGUUUCAUUGCUGGUGAUGCAGCUGUAGGGAUUGCCAAAUACAUACUCAACAGAAGACUAGUUUUCUAAAAAUAGUGAUUAGAUCGUUAACUCUGUCUCUCUCUUGAUCCAAAUUAAGUCUGAGGACAGAUCUGGAGCUGGUGUGAAGGGAGGGGGUGCUGCUGAACUUAGCACUUCCCAUCAGCUCUGUCCUCUCAUAUUCUGUGGACCAGGACUUGGAGGAGACCUACAGUGACAAGUGCAGUGACACCACCAGAUCUCCGUCUUUAAAUAAGGUUUGGUUUAGGCCAGGGCACUGCUACACACUAGGGGAAAAUGGGGAGAGCCUCAAAUGUAGGCUAUUUCGAUGCAAAUUCAUGCAUAGGAUACUGUGCUUUUGUACAGUCUGCCAUGCCUGGCUGCACAGGAGUGAGCAGAGUCUGCCUCUUGCUGGUAAAAGGGAUUUUACCUCAUGUAGCUGUUUGCAAAUUAGAUGUUUAAUUGAAGCUGGUUGGAAAUGAGAUCGUUGCUGGUUGUCUUGACUGCAGCAAAGGGAGAUAAAGAGGGAGGUCAAGGCAGCAGCUCAUCCCUGCUCUUACAGACACAUCUCUCUGGCCAGGGUGAGCUAAUCCCUGGUGCUGCUCUCCAGGUUUCACUUCUCUGUGGGUGGCUGCAUGUGGAUGGAGCUGGUUUCGAAAUGGUCUGCAGCUGGACUGAUUGGGCUGUGAGGUGGUUGGUGGACUAAGGACUACACAGGGUGCUGGAGGCUCUUCUUGAGCAUCUCCAGUUCCACGUGAACUUGACCUCUGAGAGAUGUGAGUGCUGGCUACUGAAGUCUUCUGACCUUGCAAACAAUGCCAGAAAAAUGUGUAAUUGUGCCUGAGUGAGAGAGGAUGGUUUUGCAGAAAAAAGGGUUGUGGAGGGAUGAUCCAGACACAGUGCAGCAUCUGUCCUUGGGGAAGGGAGGUGCACUGCUGGGAUGAUCUCUCCCAGACAUGAUCCUUCAGGUCCAGGUUGGAGCACUCCGUGGGACAAGAUGUAGAAGAAGUUUCCAUAGCUGAGCUGCAACCCACUCCCGAGGCGCCUUAUCUUCAUCUCUAAUUGUCUCUAUUCACAUGCAAUCAAAAAUAGAGGGGUUUGGGAUUAGAUCUGCUCUGAUGUUACCCCAGGCAAAACAGUGGCUGGGCGCAAUGUUUAUUUUGGGUCUUUAUGCCCUGGCAGAGGAAGAGGUUGCAAUGUAAAGUGGGUGCAAUGUAAAGCACGUCAGCAGUUUCAUGUCGUGGCUGAGCUUUGCUUGAUGAGUGCAGAAACCAAGGCACUACAGAUGAAGUCUCCUGUCUUGCCUCCCUGCCUUGCUGGUGACCACUACAAAUUUAAAGUCCAAUAAAAUUAAACACUGGGGAAAAAAAGUUACAAUAACACUGCCAGGAUUAGACCAAAAGAAAACACGUGCCAGAGGAAAACCCCAUUUAGAAAUCAACCGCCACUAAAUAAUUCAUCUCUUUCCCACAGACCCCAUUGUCCUGCCUCGUGCUCCAGUGACUUCACCAUUUUGGUUUAUAGCAUCGUUUGGAAAAAAAGGGGGUGGGGGGAGAAACGUUGCUUAAAAAGUAAGUCAAAGGCUCCAACAUGUGUUCUUGGCGGGCUGAAUUCAAGAUGAGGGUUUUAGACUUCCCGUGGGAGCUCCCUUUCACAGCUCUCCCCUAAUCCUCUGGAAAUCGCCUGUUCCCUACAGCUGUCGGUGCGCCAGAUAAACUAUUUGUUCAAUUAUUCUUGGCUGAGAUGGCGCGGGCUGCCUCAAAGCUGCCGGCCCCAUCGCUCGGCCCACUUCAAUUGCCUUUGGAGGAGCCUGAGCCCGUUUGAAGGCCACCGUCCUCCUCGCAAGACUGUCCCUGCUCCCGCCCCCGCGUCCUUUUUAUCUCGCCACGACACCCCCAGGGCAGCCAGCGAUGCUCCCGCAGGGGCAGGCAGGGAGGGCGGCUCCGGUGUCGGAGCGCCUGGGCGAGAAAAUAAUUACAAAUGAAAGAGAGAUUAGCAGAAGCUGUUGCGACAAAUGCUCCCGAAAUGGUUUCUGGAGUGCCGGCGGUGGCUUCUAACGGGAGAAGUCAGCUGCAGCUGCCAUCCCUAUGGCAAUGCAGAGAAACACGGGCGCUGCUGGGACCCCGGCAUGAAAGCCUGAGACCCGACAAACCAUGGCUCAGGGGACAAGAUGACGGACCGGGGCAGCUUCACGUCAUGCAAAUGGACUG